AAAGGGCAUUCGCACUAUGCCAUUGCUUGUUCGUGUGCCUGCCCACAUCUUGCUCCUCUGACCCCUGGGAUCCCACCGAUUAGCGCCGUCCGACUCGAGCAGAAGAGCAAGGCUGUCCGAUGGCUCGUUAUUGAGCUCCAGCAUGGCUCGGGCGCCGCCGCCUCCGCCGCAGCACAUCCCCAUGCCUCCGCCCCAUUUGAUGCCAGGUUUUCUGAGGACGCCGGACAAUAGGUAGUGCACUCAAGCCACUCCACUUCAACUUCUCUUUCAUAUGGUUGCAAAUGGUUCAUUGAAUGUAUUUGCCCAAUUCAGGGACGGGCUUGUUCCUCUGCAUACAAUUCAACUUCAUCGACAUGCAAUGCAGAUACUUGGCCUUCUUCUUGCUAAUGAUAAUGGAAGCACUGCAAAGUAUAUACUCAAGCAUCACUUGGUAAUGUAGUUUUUUUUUUUCAUGAUGCAAAGUGAUAACAUGAUAAUCUCAGACUGGCUAAAUGGAGUACUCACGUAUACAAAGUAUAUAAAUGAAAUUUUGUAUCUGAUUCAUGGUUAAUAAAUUCAGCUGCAAUAGGAUAAUAGGACGAUCAUUUCAUUAUGAAUUGUUUCCAGCAAUUGGAAAAUCACCCUUAAUUCCUCUUACGCUAUCAAUUUCAAAUCGCAAUGGCAUGAUACAACUAACCACUUAAAGGGACUAAAUAUAUUUAUAGCUUUUGCUCCAUGUUGUUAAGUACAUAUUUGAUGAUUCUAUAAAUCAUAAAAUUAGAGGGAAAUGAUAGAUAAAUCUUAAAACUAUUAAAAUGUAAUGAUAUUAAUUGAAUA